AUUGAACGCUGGCGGCAGGCCUAACACAUGCAAGUCGAGCGGAUGAAGGGAGCUUGCUCCUGGCUUCAGCGGCGGACGGGUGAGUAAUGCCUAGGAAUCUGCCUGGUAGUGGGGGAUAACGUCCGGAAACGGGCGCUAAUACCGCAUACGUCCUGAGGGAGAAAGUGGGGGAUCUUCGGACCUCACGCUAUCAGAUGAGACUAGGUCGGAUUAGCUAGUUGGUGGGGUAAAGGCCUACCAAGGCGACGAUCCGUAACUGGUCUGAGAGGAUGAUCAGUCACACUGGAACUGAGACACGGUCCAGACUCCUACGGGAGGCAGCAGUGGGGAAUAUUGGACAAUGGGCGAAAGCCUGAUCCAGCCAUGCCGCGUGUGUGAAGAAGGUCUUCGGAUUGUAAAGCACUUUAAGUUGGGAGGAAGGGCAGUAAGUUAAUACCUUGCUGUUUUGACGUUACCAACAGAAUAAGCACCGGCUAACUUCGUG
rnacentral:rRNA from 1 species